rnacentral:rRNA from 1 species
UAUUGGACAAUGGGCGAAAGCCUGAUCCAGCAAUGCCGCGUGAGUGAAGAAGGCCUUCGGGUUGUAAAGCUCUUUUGUCAGGGAAGAAACACCGGCUCUAACACAGUCCGGGAAUGACGGUACCUGAAGAAUAAGCACCGGCUAACUACGUGCCAGCAGCCGCGGUAAUACGUAGGGUGCAAGCGUUAAUCGGAAUUACUGGGCGUAAAGCGUGCGCAGGCGGUUAUACAAGACAGGCGUGAAAUCCCCGGGCUUAACCUGGGAAUGGCGCCUGUGACUGUAUAGCUAGAGUGUGUCAGAGGGGGGUAGAAUUCCACGUGUAGCAGUGAAAUGCGUAGAUAUGUGGAGGAAUACCAAUGGCGAAGGCAGCCCCCUGGGAUAACACUACACUCAUGCACGAA